GUUCAACUGGAGUUGUUCUCAGAUCCCCUAAGAACCGUAGGGUUCUUGGUCAAUGAAAAACAGCCCCUAAAGGUUCUUCAAAGAACUUGUUAGAAGGUGGGUUCAUCGAGGAACCUCCGUUGUUGCUGGACUUCUUCCUGGGAACUUCGCAAUUACAACUGAAAACGAUGGUGACAAGUUUGGAUGCGACAACAGUUAAAAAGAUCUUCUCAGAAAUGAUUCAAGUGCAUGGAAUGGAUAUAGACAAAAAGAGAAUUGAAGGACUAGCAGAGGUAGAGAGGCGAGGCAGGGGUGAGGACAUCAUCCUGCUAUUUUGACAGUCCCUGAAGGACAAUACAGAAAAGGACUCGACACCACAGCAGCGAUUCUGCUCUUGCCCUACCUCUUCAAUGAGGACCCGAGUGGCCUCUAUGUCCGUGACAAGGUAUGCCUAUGCACCAAUCAUCUGUUUUUCAUAAACAUAGGUGUGCAUGCUUAUAUAAAACUACAACUGAACAUUUGUUAUGUUCUUUGUAUGUGUAUUAAUCUUUUCUUACUUUUUUUGACAUAUUGCACUGCUCUUCGCUCCUUUACUGCACAUCGGUGGAAAUCCAUUUCACCAUGAGCGUGAAAUCCCGAUGGCCUUUGAUGGGGAGAACAUCCACGCCCUCGAGGACCUCCCCAUGGGACUUGGGGCUCUGCUACGGUUGUAUUUUUAUUUUCCCUUCAAUUUCCCAAAAAUGUCAGAAAAACACUUAUGUUAAGUUACUGUGUUCUGGGGAUAGGAGAAGUUGGGGUGAAGUUACCAGGGCCGGUCAUAAAGAUGGCAAACUUCCUAACAUACCUAAGUGAAUAUGAUAUACACAAUAAAGCUGAAAAAUGUGUAUUUAGCAUCAAGUCUACAAUAUUGGUAGUUUACCUAUAAUUCAUUUUUAAUGUAUGUUUUUAUUGUACAUCAUUAUUUUUAUAUAUUUUAAAUGUAAUGAAAAGCACUGUACAAAGCAAAUGUAUUAUUUAUUAUGGUCUGACAUGUCUACAGAAAUGUUGCAAUUUGGUAUAGUGUUUUUUUUUGGUAAAUUGUUUUGUAAAUAUUAAUUCACAUUUGUGGUGCCACUAAAUAAACAAUGACUUAUUUAAAACAA
ensembl:lncRNA